rnacentral:rRNA from 1 species
UUUAUUGUGAGUUUUAUCUUGGCUCAGCUUUUACGCGCGCAAACAAUAUUACACAUGCUUGUUCAUCUUACACUUUUAAGUGUAUGGUUAGCGUGAUGGUGAGUAAUAAAUGUUUUUUACCUUACUGUUGCAUAGCGAUGGUUUGAGAAAGAUGUUUUAGAUUAGGUUGUUGGUAAGACUACCAGCCUACCAAGCCUAUGAUCUAUAGCUAACGACCAAAAAUCGAAAGCCACAGUGGCCAUUAAAUAAAAGCCAAAUUUUAAAAAAGCAGCAGUGCAGAAUAUUUGACAAUGGGCGACAGCCCGAUCGAGUUGUUUGCAUUUAGGCAUUUAUUGGAAAAAUAAAACAAAGAUCUAUAUAGAGUAAGUUUUUGUGACAGUUUAACAUUGACUGGAAUCCUAAAAGAUUGGAAUUACAUAAUACUGAAUUUUAUUCACUUUGUAAGUGCAGACUAAAGAAAGUGCCAGCGGUCGCGGUUACACUUUUUGCACAAGCGUAAAGCAUAUUGACUAGGUUUAAAAUGCAUGUAGGCGGUAACCCAAUGCGGUUUACUUUAAUCAUAACAAGAAAAAUAGAACGUUUAAUGUAUCAGUAAAAUGAAUUGAUAUUAAGCAGAAUGCCAACAACAGCGAAAGUGAUUUUUUAUAUAUGAAUUUAGGCUGAAUAUGCGAAAGCUUAAGUAUCGACACAGAUUAGAGACCUGUCUAGUUUAAGCUGUAAACUAUGCGUUUAACAUUGAGAAAUCAUCAAAUACGCUACCUGGAGAGUACGAGCGCAAGCUUAAAACUCAAAAGAUUAAACGGUUCUAGCGAACGGCGUUUGGAUCAUGCUAUUUAAUUCGAUAAUACACGAAAAACCUUACCACAAUUUUUGUAAGCAUGCAGAAGCACACAAUUUUGCAU